rnacentral:rRNA from 1 species
ACUCCUACGGGAGGCAGCAGUAGGGAAUCUUCCACAAUGGGCGCAAGCCUGAUGGAGCAACACCGCGUGAGUGAAGAAGGGUUUCGGCUCGUAAAGCUCUGUUGUUAAAGAAGAACACGUAUGAGAGUAACUGUUCAUACGUUGACGGUAUUUAACCAGAAAGUCACGGCUAACUACGUGCCAGCAGCCGCGGUAAUACGUAGGUGGCAAGCGUUAUCCGGAUUUAUUGGGCGUAAAGAGAGUGCAGGCGGUUUUCUAAGUCUGAUGUGAAAGCCUUCGGCUUAACCGGAGAAGUGCAUCGGAAACUGGAUAACUUGAGUGCAGAAGAGGUAGUGGAACUCCAUGUGUAGCGGUGGAAUGCGUAGAUAUAUGGAAGAACACCGAGUGGCGAAGGCGGCUACCUGGUCUGCAACUGACGCUGAGACUCGAAAGCAUGGGUAGCGAACAGGAUUAGAUACCCCUGGUAGGAUAGCG